AGCAGCCGCGGUAAUUCCAGCUCCAAUAGCGUAUAUUAAAGUUGUUGCAGUUAAAAAGCUCGUAGUUGAAUUUCGGGAUUGGCGCAUCGGUCGUGCCUCACGGGGUAUGAACUGGUGCAGUCAAUUUCUCACCUUCUGGAGAACCGCGAUGUCCUUAAUUGGAUGCCGCGGGGAACCAGGACCUUUACUUUGAAAAAUUAGAGUGUUUAAAGCAGGCAUUUUUGCUUGAAUACAUUAGCAUGGAAUAAUAAAAUAGGACGGCAUGGUUCUAUUUUGUUGGUUUCUAGGACCACCGUAAUGAUCAAUAGGGAUAGUUGGGGGCAUUAGUAUUCAAUUGUCAGAGGUGAAAUUCUUGGAUUUAUUGAAGACUAACUACUGCGAAAGCAUUUGCCAAGGAUGUUUUCAUUAAUCAAGAACGAAAGUUAGGGGAUCGAAGACGAUCAGAUACCGUCGUAGUCUUAACCAUAAACUAUGCCGACUAGGAAUCAGACGAUGUUAAUUUUUAAUGUACUCG
rnacentral:rRNA from 1 species